AGCUCUAUCAUUUAAACAAUCUAUCAUUUUUGUUUUCCUGAGUAAAACGUUCCACAAGUGUUCCUAAAACUUUCGAAUAUGCUGCCAAUAUACGUGGAACGUUUCAGAGUAAAUGUAGGAGUGAUCAAAGAAUGAGCAAACGAAAAUUGGCAGGACGUGCUAAACGAAUCUAAUCUGAUCGUAUGAACUAAACUAAUAUGGAUCCUGCUCGUCAGGCCAAAUUACGUCAAAUGAACCCUUAAUAAUAGUCAAUUGUUAGUGACGUAUAAAUAUAAAGUCCGCGUGCUUGGUCACUGAUGGGUAGGGUCACCAUAAGUGCUUCACCGAUCCUACUAAAACGCUAAUCAGAAAACGGAUGACAUAUCCGGCAUGGCUCUUCGCUCUCCGGAGUUGUUUGGUUACUACAUUUUUUAAAUAAAUUACAUCAAUUUUACUUUUUUUCGUUUCAUUGGAUCUGAGUUCUAAAGUUACCGAAAUCCUCUACGAAGACGUUUCUGGGAUAUUCGAGAACGGUUUUUUUACACAACCUCUUACAAAAUCUUGAAAAAUAUUUAGAGUUAACAGAUGUAAAUUCUGCAGACUUUCAAAAAGUGUUAUAGUCGAUGUGCUAACCGUAUCUAAUUUAUUUGUAAACGAAUAGCUCGACAGUUGUGAAUCAGACUGCAAUAAUAAGAUCACUACAAAAAAAGUGACAAGUGCAGCACUUUUCGGUGUCACGCAAAAGACGCCUGGCCAAAUAACACACAGAGCCGCCAUUUUCUUUCAUUACAAGAAAAAUAUUUUUCUAUGCGCUAAAGGUGGAAUAAAAUGAUACCACAAUUUCAAAAUGAUGCGAUUAUUUUAUCACCUUCAAAAAAAUUCAUGAAAAAUGCCUCAUUUUCGGCAGUCUAAAUAGUAUGCUCCCCUUAAAUGUUAAUUAGAGUCAAUAUAAAUGAAUUCGUUACAACAUAUAUGAUAUUUCGGUACACGCAUUGCCUGUUGUGUGAUCAUAACCCAUGCAUGAGAUAUGUACGAAUUCGUCAAAAGUUCUCAAAAUUCUUUCGGGAAUUUCAAUGUACCCGUAAGUAAUAACGUGCAUUUCAAACUAGCGCGCCAUACGCGGCCUUCCGGCCGCAGUGGGAAGGCACGACCGCUGACGUUCGCGCUUUGCGCUCACCAGCCCACCGACGCUCGCGCUUUGUAUAUUUCAAGAAUCUACAACUUUUUCAUUUAACUUUUCUUUGUAGAAUGCUUAGAUUUCAAGUUACAGCCUAAAAAGUGUUUUUAUUGCUGUAAAAACCCGAUUUUGGGCUGCUAACUUGAGUAGAAAGCAUUUUCAUGAUUUGAUGUCAACAGGAAAAAGUUUUUUUUUGGAAAGAUCUACAACUUUUCCAUUUAACAUUUUUUUGUAGAAUGCUUAGAAUUCGAGUUACAGACAAAAAACCGUUUUUAGCGAUUUUUGGAGGUGACCGCAUUCUGCGUAUAUGUACAGGAUCAAGCUCAAAAUAGAACCAUAAGGUUCUAGUGAUGAGAGGAGUCCCCAUAAAAAAUUUUAGCCCGAUUGACUGAAGUCUCUCAGAGAUAAUCGUGUAACAUGAAAAUUUUUAUUAAAUAAUACACGAAAAAAUCGUAAAAUCGAUCAAAUUGUGCUCCCAUUUUGAAACGACGUGGAGGAUCGGGAUAUAAAAAAAUAGUUUUUUAGUUUGUACCAGAGGAGACCUCCCCCAAAAUUUCAGCCCGAUCGGCCGAAAAUUGCGUGAGAUAUCGCAUCUCACACAUUUUUCGCGAUAGAAACUAUAAGGCACUUGCGUAUGGCGGUCGUGCCUAAAAAUGU